UAGCAUGGAGAAUGAAGUCAUAACUGUGUCCCCAAGAACACAAUGCAGAGAAUGCAAAGGGGUGAGGUACAAAAUGAGGCUAACAAGUGCAGUGGAUAAGACUGGGUAAAAGGAGACACCUGUGUGGCUCAGUUGGCUAAGCGUCUGACUCUUGAUUUCUGCUCAGGUCAUGAUCUCAGGGUUUUAAGAUUGAGCCCUGAGUUGGGCUCCAACCUCUGUUGGGAGUCUGCUUGAGAUUCUCUCUCUCUUUCAAAUAAAUAAAUGAAUCUUAGGGGAAAAAAGAGCAUCUUGAAUAAUUCAGCCCCCUUUUGAACAUUGUUCUGAAGAGAUAAGCUUACCUGGUUAGGACACAAUACAAGUCAGUUGAAGCCAUUCUCUUUGGCUUUACAUGAAGGUAUUAUUUUCAUUUUAAAGUUUAUAGAGUCAUAAACAGAAGGGUCCAUUGAGAAAAAUGAAAUUACCAUGACUGAAAGGAAUAUACAAACUAGUGAGAGCAGUUUGUAUACCUUUCCAUCCACCUAUUUCUUUUCAAUCACAAGCAAAAAAGUUUAAUCUAGGAAAUUGGGGCAAGUAUCCAGUCAUCAUGGGCCACAGAAAUGCUUUUAAGGAAACUGAGUGGUUGGCAGGGAUAGGGGAAUGUGGAGUCCCUUGACUGUGCAUGGACUCCCAGGGCUCAUCCUUAGUGAUUCAAGUACAAGGCUGAUGGCAGAAUAAUUCAGACUCUUCCACAUGGUGAACUAAUGUUGCCUGAACAGCCUCUCUCUCUGGUCAGGAUUGAUUUAGCACCAGGACAAGAUUAAGUCUGGAUGCAAAAGUCACCAGUUAUCACAGCUGGAAGUGGUGGAGGUGCACAACCAUCAACACUCUUUAUAGAAGCUUAAGCAGCUGUGAUGGUUCUUCUUAUGCAAGGCCUUCCCCUUCAAAAGGAAUUCCAGGAUUUGAAGGGCGCACUCACGAGCUGCAGGGGAGCCAAAAGGUACGUCUUCUCUUUUCAUUGC
rnacentral:lncRNA from 12 species